AACGAACGCUGGCGGCAGGCUUAACACAUGCAAGUCGAACGCCCCGCAAGGGGAGUGGCAGACGGGUGAGUAACACGUGGGAACGUGCCCUAAGGUUCGGAAUAUUCCCGGGAAACUGGGAGCAAUACCGAAUGUGACCGCAAGGUGAAAGAUUUAUCGCCUUAGGAUCGGCCCGCGUCGGAUUAGCUAGUUGGUGGGGUAAAAGCCUACCAAGGCGACGAUCCGUAGCUGGUCUGAGAGGACGACCAGCCACACUGGGACUGAGACACGGCCCAGACUCCUACGGGAGGCAGCAGUGGGGAAUCUUGGACAAUGGGCGCAAGCCUGAUCCAGCCAUGCCGCGUGAGUGAUGAAGGCCCUAGGGUUGUAAAACUCUUUCGUCGGGGACGAUAAUGACGGUACCCGAAGAAGAAGCUCCGGCUAACUUCGUGCCAGCAGCCGCGGUAAUACGAAGGGGGCUAGCGUUGUUCGGAUUUACUGGGCGUAAAGCGCGUGUAGGCGGGUCGUUAAGUUGGGGGUGAAAUCCCGAGGCUC
rnacentral:rRNA from 1 species